rnacentral:tRNA from 1 species
CUCGGCCGCGCUGGGCACGCAUUUGCUGGCGCGCCUGCGCAGCGUGCAGGCCAAGUGGCCCACGCUGGUGCGUGCCGUGCGCGGCCGCGGGCUGUGG